rnacentral:misc_RNA from 1 species
AAAGUCGUAACAAGGUUUCCGUAGGUGAACCUGCGGAAGGAUCAUUACAAAUCUUGUGGUGUGGUUGGGGGGUGUGGUUGGUUGGUUUGUGGUGCUGGAAAGGUCAACUGACCAGCAUCGCUCACUUAUUAUCACCCGCUCAUCCAUCCACCCACACAUAUGCACAGGGCCGCAAGGCUCUGAUGUUUACGCUUGUUUGUUUGACAGAUUUAUGUAACCUCUAAAUUUUGACAACUUUUAACAAUGGAUCUCUUGGCUCUU